AUGGGACACCAGAGGUGUCUGCCACCAAAUCAGAAGAGGAAACUAUGCUGGAAUUGGACAGGAACGCCCCUCACUCAGCAGCAGGUGGACAUGGCUGUGGGUCAGGACCUCCUGCUUCAUGGGGAAGCCUUGUCUGUCAUCAGCACCACUGAUUUGGACCACGUAACCCUUCUAUUCUUCACUCAGAGGAGCAUCAGCAGCGUCUGUGGCCAUACACUUCUCAUAACAGCACGCUCUAUCUUCAUUGGAAGAAAUGAUUGGGACAGAGGACCUUCCCUCAAAAAAACCAUUCCCCACACUAGAAUCAUAUCACAGAUACAACUCUAA
rnacentral:lncRNA from 1 species